CCUACGGGAGGCAGCAGUGAGGAAUAUUGGUCAAUGGGCGCGAGCCUGAACCAGCCAAGUCGCGUGAGGGAAGACGGUCCUAUGGAUUGUAAACCUCUUUUGUCGGGGAGCAAAAGACGCCACGCGUGGCGUUCCGAGAGUACCCGAAGAAAAAGCAUCGGCUAACUCCGUGCCAGCAGCCGCGGUAAUACGGAGGAUGCGAGCGUUAUCCGGAUUUAUUGGGUUUAAGGGGUGCGUAGGCGGAAUAUCAAGUCAGCGGUAAAAAGUCGGGGCUCAACCCCGUCGUGCCGUUGAAACUGAUGUUCUUGAGUGGGCGAGAGGUAUGCGGAAUGCGUGGUGUAGCGGUGAAAUGCAUAGAUAUCACGCAGAACUCCGAUUGCGAAGGCAGCAUACCGGCGCCCAACUGACGCUGAAGCACGAAAGCGUGGGUAUCGAACAGGAUUAGAUACCCUGGUAGUC
rnacentral:rRNA from 1 species